AACCCUAACAGGGGAGAUGGCAUCAUCAGGAAGGUAGUUUUCUCAGGGUAAGGCUUAUCAACUCUUCUCUGAAUGCGUUGACCCCUGCAGUUUCCCCAAAUGUGGGAAAUCAUACCCCAUUUGUAACAGUGAGGACUGAGUUCACACUUUCCUCU
rnacentral:snRNA from 1 species